AUUGAACGCUGGCGGCAUGCUCAACACAUGCAAGUCGAACGGUAACAGGCCCUUCGGGGUGCUGACGAGUGGCGGACGGGUGAGUAAUGCUUAGGAAUCUGCCUAGCAGUGGGGGAUAACCCGGGGAAACUCGGGCUAAUACCGCAUACGCCCUACAGGGGAAAGCGGGGGACUUUCGGGCCUCGCGCUAUUAGAUGAGCCUAAGUCCGAUUAGCUAGUUGGUAGGGUAAUGGCCUACCAAGGCGACGAUCGGUAGCUGGUCUGAGAGGACGACCAGCCACACUGGGACUGAGACACGGCCCAGACUCCUACGGGAGGCAGCAGGUGGGGAAUAUUGGACAAUGGCGCAAGCCUGAUCCAGCGAUGCCGCGUGUGUGAAGAAGGCCUGCGGGUUGUAAAGC
rnacentral:rRNA from 1 species